GGUGCUUGGGUGCCUUUGAGGUGACCAGUGUGUAGGGGAAAUGCAUGAGAAAGAGGAUGUCUUGUGCAUCUGUCCACUGCCCUGGGCUGCCCACUCCUGACCCCACAAUCCUCAGAGAAGAACCCCCUCCAGCUCCUGUGGGUACCCAGGCAGCAUGGGUGCCCAUGCAGCUCCUGCAACCCAGCUGGGACGUGAGCCACUUCCCCUUGCAGAACCCCAGUUUUACCACCUGUGACCAGAAUGACAGGGUCUCCCUCACAGGCUAUGACAAGAGGGUGCCCUCAUUCCCAAAUAGCGGGCACCCAGUGGGUGCUAGUAAAAAUCAGUCUUUCCCCUCUGGGGGAAAAAUGGGUGUAGGCAGUAGGGCAAGGGCAUGCAGCUUUUAUUUAAAAUGGGCUCGAAGCCCCAGGAUGAGAUGAUUGACUGAUACCCAUUUGCCUGAAUCUGUUCCCUGAGCCUUGACUCCUCUUUGCUGACCAAGCUUCCUGGGGUGAGGGACCAUUCUUGCAACCUCAACAUCCCAGCAAGUAGGAGAUGCUCAGUAAAACGUGUAAAGACUCAGUACCCCCACAUCAGAGCAAGGGCACCCCCACCGUGGGAUUGAUUCUACAAGAAUCUUCCAUUUAAGCACAGCCUUAAUACAGGGCCUGGUGCUCAGUACGCUUGCUGAGAGACUGUGAUCCUGAAUGAGAAUAGGGUUCAUAUUCCUCAAUGUAAGCCAAGGUGGCGGAUCAGCCAGAGCCUUGAUUAUCCGAAAUGUCUCCUUUCCUCUCAGUCAUGGAGGGCUUGGUCUUCCAAAGACAAGUGCCUGCAGCCCUCCCUAGAAAAUAGGUGGCUGUUUACUUUGCACUUUGGGGAAAAUGCCUUCAUCCCCACCACCCCCCACACCUGACCUGCUGGCCCACGGGUGUCCUCGACAGCCAUACAGGCAGUGCGGUGUGGUAGGGACGUCCGGGGCCAGCCUGCCAGUGUUUGGAUCCAGCAAUGAUAUUCGCUAGCUAUGCAAGUAACUUCACAGCAGUAAAACAUAAUAUUUAAAAGGCAUUCCUUCCUCACAGCCAAAUGCCGGGGUUGGUGCACAAACUUUUCUUUGGUCUGAGAAAGAAUCCCCCUUCCCUUCUAUAGACACGACUUGGCACUGGGGCAUUAGGCUUAAAGCAGGACACAGCCCUCCCUCUGGAUCUUAGUGCUGCCAUGUCCCCUCCACCAGGUACCCUUGUGCAGUGAACAUCCUGCACAACCUCUCCUGGCAGCCCUGGUAAGGUACUUCUUACUGGAAACCCUCACUCCUCUGACCCAUCCCCCAGCCCCUGUUUCCAAUCCUGUAAUCACUGUAGUGGCUCAUCUCCCAACCCUCCCUUGAGGACAAUUUAUGAAAAGUUACUAAAAUAAACAGAAAAUGUACUCCAGAUGAGCAGGGCCCUAAGGCAUUUUCUAAAGAAAGAGGCAGUGAUGUUUGUUCUUGCAGGGCCUUCAGCUGCACCCUCACAGCGGACACUGGGAACAGGCCUCCCCGCACGUACUCCAAGAGCCUGAGCCCCAGAGCGUCUGUGCAGAGGAUGCCAGCGGUGGGAAGGGGCAGGUGGACAGGAUGUGUGUCCUCUCCCGGGUUUUGGGAACCAAGAGCCAGCACCCGGCACUGUGGGAGGAAGAGCUGUGAGUAGAAGGGGCGGCAGGGCCCUGGGCAGGGGCUCACUGGCUGGCAACCAGGAACACGAGCCAGGCUGAGGCCAAGGAGAAGAUCCAUGCAGAGAACCUUGGUGGAGGCCCCUGCAGUGUCAGGCCGGUGCUGGGGACAGGAGGCCACAGGACUGUCAGAUGGGCCCUCGGGGAGCUCCCACAGUGGGGAGCCUGGGGGGAGGAGGAGGAGGACAGUGCCUUUGGCCAGGGCCUAAAAUGGGACAGAGCAGCAGUUCUCCACAGAGUGUACAUCAGAACCUCCAGGAGGGCUUGUUAGACCCAGAGUGCUGGGCCGCACCCCCACCCCCAGAGGGGGCGAGCCAGCAGGUCCAGGGUGCAGCUGGGCCUUCGUGUUUCUGUCCAGCUCCCCAGGAGAUGCCAGUGCUGAGCCACUGGAGGGACGGCGGGGUGCCUGGGUCUGGUGUGCUCGGAGCCAGCGGCAGCAGCUGAAGAGCAGAGGCUCUUAGCUGCCGGGCCUCGGUCCCUUGUGUGAGGGUCAGCGGAGAUGAUAAAGUGCUCGGCUCAGAACCUGCUGCAGUGAGGACACAAGGGCAGCCGCCAUUAUUUUUUAUUCUUGUUGUCUACACUGAUGCUGCUGUGAGGACAUCAGUGGGGACGGUCCUUGGGCAGCACAGGGACAGGAGACAUGCUUUGUUCCACUGCCAGUGCAGCCAGCCUACCUGAGGGCUGCCCGUUAAGGAUCAACAGGAGGGGAAUGGGUGCCCACAGGGCCACUGGAGCCUGGCUUCUCUGCACCCCUUCCCUGUGUCUCACUUCCCCAUCCCCUGCCUGCCUCAGUGCCUUUGCACACACUGUGCUGCUGCCUGCAACACCUUUUUCCACAUCCCUGCAUAGGCUGCAGGACUCCUUUCCAAGAUCAUCAGUGUCUAGGCUCCCAAGAGGACACUCGUGGCUUCAAGUGUGUUUACCAAACAGUCAAGGGCACAGCCAAUGUAUCCUCCAGCCAUGGGUCUUCUCCCCAGCUUUCUCCCGGUGCCCCUGCCUUAGGAAGUAGGUUUGCAUGUUCCUUUCUGGCUGAAGUCAAUCAGACAGGAAGUGAGACACACGGCAGGAAGCAGGUGAGACCAGCCCUGGAAUCCUCCAGCCCCCUUACCUGGGCGGCACUGGAGUUGCUCAGACAGAGCAGGGAAGCAGCAUCAUAGGACCUGUGCGAGGGCCAGGUCGAGUUCCCUAGCAGCACCAUCUCCACAGGAGAAGGCCUUGCUCCUCAGGUGGCCAACAGGCCCCUUAGUCAUCUGGCCCCGCCCACACCCCCACCUUCAUUUCUGCUACUCUCUAAUCACUUCCUACCAUCAGUCAGUGUUUAUCAUUACUUCCCCACACCCCACACAUACCAGGUUGUUUCUAGGCCUUGCUUAUGUUUGCUUCCUGCUCUAGAAAAUCAUUUCUUCCCUUGGCCUUUUGUUGAACUCCUAUUUAUCCUUCAGAACCCUGGCCAGAGGUUGCUUCCUCUGAGAAGCCUUUGCAGAUCUUCUCAGGUAGACCGUACCUCCCCCUCGUCCCUCCCACAUCUCUGCCUCACCCUGUAUACUUCCACCUUCACUCUCCAUGGUCAUCUUUUUUCACACAACUGCUACCCAUCAUCAUGAGCAGCUUGACAGACGGUUCCAUUUUACUUUGUCUUUAUUAAAGCCAAGCAGAGGGCCCGAUGUGUGGGAGGGGUCCCAGGGAAUGUUUGCUGACAGAAUGUAUCUCCAGUAUUGGAGACCAGACCCACAAAGGCCCCCAGCUCAUGACCCAGGAUCUCUUCUUACCCGUCCAUUACGCAGAUGAGGAAAUCAAGUCACCAAGCAGAGGUCUCCAUCUUCCUGCCCAUGGCCAUGAGGAAGCUCCCUCGCUCUCUCCCUGCCCUUCUGGGGCCUUGGGAGACCCUCUGACCUCACAGAUGGGGGACAGCGCCUCCACUCUGAGCAGCCGACACAGGAUAGAAUGCAGUCUCUCAGCAUCUCAGGCCGGUUCCCUCUCUGCCACCUAACAGCCCCCAUCAGGGAAGGCCCUAUGUCAUGAUAGAGAGCAGGUCAGUGUGGAAGGAGUGAGGGAGACAGAGCCCCGUCACACCAGUGGGUGAAUGUUCCCUGAGGAGCAGGAUGAUUACAUACUAAGUAUCUCUCAUAAGAUACUAUUUACAAAGAGAUACAUAGUAACUUUCUAAGGGAGGCAAUUAGCAGACCCCAUUUUUCCAAAGUGAUUGGAUUUAUAUCAGCAGCAGGAGGACAAACCAGUGUGAUGAGCCUCCUCACAGAACACUCCAAGGGCACAUCACUCCGGGGGCUUCCUGCCUGCUAGGGGCUGAAUUGUGCCCUGUCCACCCCCACUGACAUGUUGACACCCUGACCCCCAGCACCUCAGAACGUGACUGCAUUUGGAGGUAGGGCCUUUAAGAGGUGAUUAAGUUAAAAUGAGUCUUUAGGGAUGGCCCUAAUCCAAUCCAAUUGGUGUCCUAAUAAGAGGAAAUUUGGACCCACAAAGAGACACCAGGGAUGUGUGUGCAGAGAGGAGAGGCCACGUGGGGACACAGUGAGAAGGUGGCUGCCUGCAAGCCAGGGAGAGAGGCUCAGAGGAAACCAGACCUGCCGACGCCUUGAUCUUGGACUUCAGCCUCUGGAACUGUGAGAAAACAACUCCCUAUCAUUUAACCCAGUCUGUGGUGUUUUGUCAUGGCAGCCUGCGCCGAGUAGUACACUGCCCAGGGCGCAGGAGCUGCGUCUUAUUAGGAGGAAAGCCAUACAAACCUGAAUGACGGCCGUUCUGCAGAGUUGACUGGCCUGUACUCCUCAAAGAUGCCAAGGGCACGAAGCACGGAGAAUGACAGAGGGACCGUCCCAGGCUGGGGGGAACCUGAGCCUGGGUCGUGGUCUAGGAAAAACUUUUCCCUUCGCUAUAAAAGUCAUCUUUAGGACAACUGUGACCUGAAUACGGUUUGGCGGUUAGACAGUUGUGCUAUACCUGUGCUGAUUUCCCGAUUGUGAUAUUUUCCUGGGAGUACUUCUUUUUUUAGGAACUACACACUGUGGUAUUUACAGACAAAGGGGAAUCAAUUGGUCUGCAACCAGUUCUCAAAUGGUAUGGACAGAAGUGUGUGUGUGUGUGUAAUAUCUACAGAGAAAGAGGGGCUAAAACAAAAUAAAAAGGUGUUCACAGUGUUAAAAAAAAUUCAACUGCAUAAAUUUUAAAGAUCUUAUUGGCUUUAUUCAAUGAUUCAUGAAUCAAACAGCAUCCAAACUAACAGAAAAGAGCUCCAAGGAGCUGUACAAAAUGAAACUUUCAUAGGCAGGAGGGAGCAGGAAUAGAAAACUACACUAGCAAAAAAGUGGGUUGGUUACUGCCAGGUGACUUCCCUUAGGGGAUGGCAGGGGUCUAUCAGCAGAUGGCCUACCUAGUCCUGACCGGGAGGUUCCUGAGCAACCGAUCUAAGAUUCGGUUUCUGGGAAAGCCCAAAAAACUGUAAUGAGGUCUUAGUUUGGUGACGUGGCACCUUAGCAUAAGCAACUUCAUUUUGGAGGACUCUGGGUGAAGGGUAUACGGACAUUCUUUCCAGUAAGUCUGAAAUCAUUUCAAAAUAAAUUUUAAAACUCCCAUUAUCCCUCAGAAAAUUUACUUCAGCCUCUCCUUCUCCAGGGACCCCAGCCUGUAGUCCACUGUUUCUGGCUCCUUCUAUGCCUUUAUCUCCCCUAAUUCCUUCUGCCUCA